CUCCUACGGGGGGCAGCAGUGAGGGAUAUUGGUCAAUGUUUUCCACCCUGAACCAGCAACGCCGCGUGAGGGAAGACGGUUUUCGGAUUGUAAACCUCUGUCCUCUGUGAAGAUAAUGACGGUAGCAGAGGAGGAAGCUCCGGCUAACUACGUGCCAGCAGCCGCGGUAAUACGUAGGGAGCGAGCGUUGUCCGGAUUUACUGGGUGUAAAGGGUGCGUAGGCGGGUAAGCAAGUCAGAAGUGAAAUCCAUGGGCUUAACCCAUGAACUGCUUUUGAAACUGUUUAUCUUGAGUGAAGUAGAGGG
rnacentral:rRNA from 1 species